rnacentral:rRNA from 1 species
AAUGAACGCUGGCGGCGCGCCUAAUACAUGCAAGUCGAGCGAGAAGACGUAGCAAUACGUUUGUAAAGCGGCGAACGGGUGAGGAAUACAUGGGUAACCUACCCUAGAGUGGGGAAUAACUAGCCGAAAGGUUAGCUAAUACCGCGUACGCUCCUUGGACUUCGGUUCAGGGAGGAAAGCGAUGCCGAGGGUAUCGCGCUCUUGGAUGGGCUCAUGUCCUAUCAGCUUGUUGGGAGGUAACGGCUCACCAAGGCUUCGACGGGUAGCUGGUCUGAGAGGGACGAUCAGCCACACUGGCACUGCGACACGGGCCAGACUCCUACGGGAGGCAGCAGUAAGGAUAUUGCGCAAUGGGCGAAAGCCUGACGCAGCGACG